rnacentral:sRNA from 1 species
CGCAUUCCCGCUCCAGGGUGGAGCGACCCUCCCCUCCUCCCUCCUGGCCCCUCGACUACACCCGGGGUGGGGUCUCUCCUUCCUUCCUCCUCGGGAGGAGCCCGGCUGGGAGACGCCGCGGGGACUACCCAUUUCCAGCCCGCUCACCUUUCCCAUGCAGCAGCCCCUGCUUCACUCACUGAUCACUCCUUCGCGAGACCAUUAGUGACUGAGCACCUAGCGCGUGGUGUGUCAGGAGCUGGAGAUCGAGCGUUGAACGGAGCAGGCCUUGUCCACAGGGAGCUUACAGUCGGCUGGACAAGACAGAUGAAAGACAUGAAGAAGCCAAAUGACUUGCCGAGGCUCCAGGGCAGCGCUGUCCAAUAGAACCAUGAUUAGAGCCACGUGUGUCGUUUCUUAUUUGACUCAAAGGAACUGACUGCUUCUGUUUUCCCAGAAUUCUAUCAAAUAUUUAGCAAGUGUCCACAUGUACCCAAGCGAUACACAUUCCUUACAUAGAGGAAGGUAAGGAAAGGUGGCAGAGAUCCUUCAGUCCAGACUGUGAAGAAAACCCUUGAGUUAAGCCAUUAGACAUCUAUGCAA